rnacentral:rRNA from 1 species
GUCUACUCUAAUAUCACGUUUAACUGAGUUCCAGUUAACGACACAGUGUAUAAGGAGUGUUACAUUUCGACCUUCUACAAGUUAGAAAGAAACCAGUCAUACCGUUCCAUACAAUAGACAUAUUGGAACUUAUGGUCUGAACUGUCCUAUCCGAUCUUGGCGAUCUAACGUGUAACGCACAACGAAGUCGAAAGUCAUUGUGUAAAUAGUCAAUGAAACUUGACCUUUACAAGUCAAUCUACGUGAUACGUACACUAUAAGUUAACUAUACUAUUAAAGUGUUAGUACGUUCAACCGCGUAGUAGUGAUAUUUAUGUACUUAGCACAUUGUAUUUACGACUACCACGAUACAACAAAGACUUGACACACGUAGUGUCCAAUUGUAGCAUUCCGAAGGUUUUGUACAAAGAUUGUUCUCCGUCAAGAGGCCGUGUAGAAACCAGCUUAAAAGCCUUCUUCAACUUCGAUUGUUAUAGUACUUAUUGUUUGAAUCAAAACGUCCUCGCCUAGAUCUUUAUUUUUGUUUCUUCCUUAAACUACGACUUUACCUCCGAUUCUUUCUUCGAAUACUCUUCAGCGUGGGAUUAUGUGUGGGAUUAUUCUUACCAGUACUGCUUCCUAUCGGUUUUCCAGACUAAGACGGAAAUUCGACUUCUUUUAAGAUCGAAUACCACUGUGUCUUGUUUUACCACCCCUGUUUCAACUAUUAUCGCUGUUACGGUUCUUCCUUCCCCACCUUAGCCCCUUUCGAACACUUCUCUUCCGGGGACUCUUGUGACUACGGUUCCUUCUCUUCAGUCUACUACGACUCCUCAACUUUCACAGUCUACGUGUUCCCUCGCCCGACGAGAGCCACGAGCUGGCCCGCGAGUGGCUGCUCCUCCUCAUGGCGGCGCGCGCGGGUCCACGUCGCGUUCCUGCACCUCCGUCUCCCCAUGCGGCAGCUCCCAUAGAGCCACUCGCCCGUGCUCUGGACGUAGUGGCACGGCAGGGAGUUGCAGCGUAAACUGUAGCCGGCGCCGGGCGAGAAGCGGCACGCGAUCCUGGUGGAGAAGUAGUGCGUGCGGUGGAGCUGGUGUAGCAGGAAAACAGUCACAGAAGUUAACGAAACGACUUAUCACCCACCAUCGACGAACUCACUUCUAGAAGCAUAGCUCCAAACAAAUGAUGGCACCUAACGAAUAUAGUGGAACAAGACAUUAACAGACAAUGAACAACAUGUGUAUGACUGAUCCGCAACACAGGCACAACGACAAAAGGUAAACGGAAACGACCAAUUGAAUGAAAAGUUCCUGAUAAAGAAGACGAGUCCUACACGGGAUGACAUAGAAAACACUAAGGAUAAAACCUCUGGGACCGCCGCGUACAAGGAAACGGAUGAGAAAACAUGUACACACUCUAUCGGCUGCUACCCCGACACUAACGACCACAACUCGAACUCGAAGGAUGCCUAUCACACAGGGACGAAGGUCUAUCCUGCAACGAUUUUAAAGACGUCCCCCCGAUACCCAAACAAUAGUCCCUGAUGCCCAAAGUAUCACAACCAAGUAUGGUAAGUCCUCGUCACGACCACGAUUCUUGCGACCGUUACGUUUCUUUUGUUCCGUCAUUAAGUAGAUAGCGGAUUCUACUGGUACCUGCCACUAUUACAUUUGUCAGGUCAACGACUACUUGUACUAAACAGCUGUUCCUUCGAAUUAUCGAUGGUUCGUGUUGAAGCACGAGACGUUUCUAUUCUAAGUAGUUUGUGGCUUCCUCCAAUCAAAAUGGUCACGUUGUUACCGCCGGUGGCACCAGGACAACCUCGGAGGGAACGGCACCUUUCAGUGUUCGAGGUCCCUCACGGCCGUGUUGGACUUGUCUACGGCGGAUGUGACCUUCUUUUUGUAUAAUAAACUUAAUAUAUUUCACUUGGUACGAUGUUACCUUUUCUUGGUACGCUACUUUUUUCUUUCCGUGUUUCUCGGCGACCUACUACUAAAACUACUAAUACUGUUCUGGUAAUAAUACUUUCCAUAAAGAAUAUAGACAUGUGCUAAUGUACCAUAAAGAAUAUUACUAGUAACCCUCUUCGUACUGAUGUGAGCGUUUUAGAAACAACCCACAGAGGGCGAAAGCCAUGUGCUACGGAUGGAAUCGUCUAAGAAGUCAUGACUUAAGCCUGGACACCUCCUUCUUAUCAUUAAUGGAAAAGAUCCUCAUGACUUAAGCCUGGACACCUACUCUAAGGGUCUCAGUCACAGUCUAGCAGUCAGAGGUUCUAGUGGUGAAUGGCGAUUAUAGUGAAUCUUACGAGGAAUAUUGUGACUGUCAGGUGUACCACUACGUACGUCACUCUCUUUACAGGUCUUGGUCGUACUACUACUCACGUCGUCUUCGUUACCGCUUUCGGACGGCCUACCACUUAGGUGGAGUUAACCAUCGAAUGAAAUACACUAAUGACACUCGUAUGACUUCAUACUAAACUAGCUCAGUAGACGUCGUUUCGGACUAAACUAACACAGACCUGGAGAACUUUUUUAGCUUGUUGCUGGUAAUGUCUUCGGACUAAACCAGCUCGGACGUGGAUGUUUCUUUGAACUAAACUAACUCAGGUCAUGAGGAUCCUUCCGACUAAACCAAGUCGGACCCGGACGUCCCCUCGAAGUAAACCAACUCAGGUCUGGAAGAUCCUUAAGAGUUGACUAACUCGGACCUGGACGUUCCUUCGAACUAAAAUUAGUUGGGACUGGUUGUGUACGAAACAACUAGUAGCACAACUUUCCGGUCAUCAGUGAGGUUCGUCGAUGCUCUUACUUUACUCUAAGAGGAAGGUGAGUAUCACCCAGCGCCUAUGUUCGUUCCCGCCGCGGUAGACGGUUAAGGUGUCGAGGCUCGACGUCGGCCUCGACGACCCGGCGGACUCUACGUCUACCUCCGCGUCGAGGAGGCUCGACGGCCCAGCGACUCUACGUCUACCUCGGCCUCGUGGAGGCUCGACGUCGUCCUUGACUCUACGUCUACCUCAGCCUCGUGGAGGCUCGACGUCGUCUUCGGCGAGGCGACGGUUCGAUAUCACACUCGGUGGCGCUUCUACCUCGGGUUCCACAAGAGUGAAGUCAUGUCACCCCUCUCCUUGUACUGCGUAUGGUACUUGACCAGCUACCUUGGUUCUGGUCGUCAGUACGAUCUGUGCACCAGUCGCGACGCGCAGCACCACCGUCAACCACUUCGUUGAUAACCGCCACAAAAACAGAGAGUCGUGAACCGUACUAACAU